rnacentral:lncRNA from 1 species
CUCAUGAAUAAGCAUCAACUUAAAGAAUUACUCUUGAAGAACAGGUUACAGAUAUCAAUAUAUCUGUCGAGGGCUAAAUCAUCCGGGUUCACCUUAUAUGCCAAGUCACCGAACUUGGUCAUAUCAUUGCUAUCAUAGCAACGCCUUUCUCAACACCACACACACACACACACACCCCCACUUGGUUAAUGUGGAAACAACUGGACGUAGUUUAAGCAAGAUUACACAACUGUCCUUGACCGUGGACACGACUAUUCGAAUAGUUUACACUCUACCGAGGUAGUACGCUGGACACACGAGAUCCGGGAACUUCCGUGUCAUCCACGACUCGCGGUAUAUCACAUACCCGAGGUAAGUACCCGACCAAUGCCUUUCCCCUGAUGAUACUAGACAAAGAGGUCCACUCGAUUGGUACCCAGCCCACAUGUUGUAUGUCUUACGAGCACCAACUCUGGACAGUACCAACCAUGCGGGGACCAACGGUGUGACUGGAACUCAUAAAAAUGGCAUAGUCGUCCUAGCUGGCACGACCCAUCACGAGAGUGACCACACAUC